GAUGAACGCUGGCGGCGUGCCUAAUACAUGCAAGUCGAGCGAACGGACGGGAAGCUUGCUUUUCUGAUGUUAGCGGCGGACGGGUGAGUAACACGUGGAUAACCUACCUAUAAGACUGGGAUAACUUCGGGAAACCGGAGCUAAUACCGGAUAAUACUUUGAACCGCAUGGUUCAAAAGUGAAAGACGGUCUUGCUGUCACUUAUAGAUGGAUCCGCGCUGCAUUAGCUAGUUGGUAAGGUAACGGCUUACCAAGGCAACGAUGCAUAGCCGACCUGAGAGGGUGAUCGGCCACACUGGAACUGAGACACGGUCCAGACUCCUACGGGAGGCAGCAGUAGGGAAUCUUCCGCAAUGGGCGAAAGCCUGACGGAGCAACGCCGCGUGAGUGAUGAAGGUCUUCGGAUCGUAAAACUCUGUUAUUAGGGAAGAACAUAUGUGUAAGUAACUGUGCACAUCUUGACGGUACCUAAUCAGAAAGCCACGGCUAACUACGUG
rnacentral:rRNA from 1 species